AACGAACGCUGGCGGCAUGCCUAACACAUGCAAGUCGAACGAAGUCCUUCGGGGCUUAGUGGCGCACGGGUGCGUAACGCGUGGGAAUCUGCCCUUGGGUUCGGAAUAACAGUUAGAAAUGACUGCUAAUACCGGAUGAUGACGAAAGUCCAAAGAUUUAUCGCCCAGGGAUGAGCCCGCGUAGGAUUAGGUAGUUGGUGAGGUAAAGGCUCACCAAGCCGACGAUCCUUAGCUGGUCUGAGAGGAUGAUCAGCCACACUGGGACUGAGACACGGCCCAGACUCCUACGGGAGGCAGCAGUGGGGAAUAUUGGACAAUGGGCACAAGCCUGAUCCAGCAAUGCCGCGUGAGUGAUGAAGGCCUUAGGGUUGUAAAGCUCUUUUACCAGGGAUGAUAAUGACAGUACCUGGAGAAUAAGCUCCGGCUAACUCCGUGCCAGCAGCCGCAGUAAUAC
rnacentral:rRNA from 1 species